rnacentral:rRNA from 1 species
UACGUAGGUGGCAAGCGUUGUCCGGAAUUAUUGGGCGUAAAGAGCGUGUAGGCGGCCCGAUUAGUCCGCUGUGAAAGUCCAGGGCUCAACCCCUGGAAUGCCGGUGGAUACUGUCGGGCUAGAGUCCGGAAGGGGCGAGUGGAAUUCCUGGUGUAGCGGUGAAAUGCGCAGAUAUCAGGAGGAACACCAAUGGCGAAGGCAGCUCGCUGGGACGUGACUGACGCUGAGACGCGAAAGCGUGGGGAGCAAACAGG